GACAGACAGGUCGAGCAGGGACGAAAGUCGGGCUUAGUGAUCCGGUGGUUCCGCAUGGAAGGGCCAUCGCUCAACGGAUAAAAGACUACCCCGGGGAGUAACAGGCUGAUCUCCCCCAAGAGUCCACAUCGACGGGGAGGUUUGGCACCUCGAUGUCGGCUCAUCGCAUCCUGGGGCUGUAGUCGGUCCCAAGGGUUGGGCUGUUCGCCCAUUAAAGCGGUACGCGAGCUGGGUUCAGAACGUCGUGAGACAGUUCGGUCCCUAUCCGUCGCGGGCGCAGGAAAUUUGAGAGGAGCUGUCCUUAGUACGAGAGGACCGGGAUGGACGCACCGCUGGUGUACCAGUUGUCCCGCCAGGGGCACCGCUGGGUAGCUAUGUGCGGAAGGGAUAAGCGCUGAAAGCAUCUAAGCGUGAAGCCCCCCUCAAGAUGAGAUUUCCCAUCGCGUCAAGCGAGUAAGAUCCCUCGAAGAUGACGAGGUCGAUAGGUCCGAGGUGGAAGCGUGGCGACACGUGGAGCUGACGGAUACUAAUCGAUCGAGGGCUUAACCAC
rnacentral:rRNA from 1 species